rnacentral:rRNA from 1 species
UACGUAGGGUGCGAGCGUUGUCCGGAAUUACUGGGCGUAAAGAGCUCGUAGGUGGUUUGUCGCGUCUGCUGUGAAAACCCGAGGCUCAACCUCGGGCCUGCAGUGGGUACGGGCAGACUAGAGUGCGGUAGGGGAGAUUGGAAUUCCUGGUGUAGCGGUGGAAUGCGCAGAUAUCAGGAGGAACACCAAUGGCGAAGGCAGAUCUCUGGGCCGUAACUGACGCUGAGGAGCGAAAGCAUGGGGAGCGAACAGG